rnacentral:misc_RNA from 1 species
GGAAUCUUCCGCAAUGGACGAAAGUCUGACGGAGCAACGCCGCGUGAGUGAUGAAGGUUUUCGGAUCGUAAAGCUCUGUUGUUAGGGAAGAACAAGUACCGUUCGAAUAGGGCGGUACCUUGACGGUACCUAACCAGAAAGCCACGGCUAACUACGUGCCAGCAGCCGCGGUAAUACGUAGGUGGCAAGCGUUGUCCGGAAUUAUUGGGCGUAAAGGGCUCGCAGGCGGUUUCUUAAGUCUGAUGUGAAAGCCCCCGGCUCAACCGGGGAGGGUCAUUGGAAACUGGGAAACUUGAGUGCAGAAGAGGAGAGUGGAAUUCCACGUGUAGCGGUGAAAUGCGUAGUGAUGUGGAGGAACACCAGUGGCGAAGGCGACUCUCUGGUCUGUAACUGACGCUGAGGAGCGAAAGCGUGGGGAGCGAACAGGA